GUGUUGGAGAGUCCACGCUACAGACAAUCUGUUCCCGGGGGCUGGAGGCACCUUUGGGAGAAGAAAGGCAGAUGAAAAAGAGAACAUGAUGUGAGCACUGAAAAGACGAGAGGCACACAAAAAAUGUGAACUGCUGAAUUUACUGUCUAGCUAUAAUGAGCACAGAGGGAGGAGCCUUGGGCUUUGCAAGAGUGUUCACUGGGCAAACUGGGAAGAGCUGAGGACGAAUAUACUAAAUAAAGCCAGAUAAUGACAAAAUGUGAACUUGUUACUCCUUCACAGAGCUUCAGCUUUUAAAUACCAGACAUUAUCAACAUAAAAUGGACAUGUAGGUAAAGCUAAAAAAGUUUCUUUUUCUAUUUACUUUGUUUUUAAAAACAUGUUGAUUAAAUACUUACAGAAGUUAAAGAAAAAUGAGCUAUUGCUUUAAAAUUUGACAGCAAGAUAGUUAGCAUCACUCUGUCACAUCUCUCCAAAAGAUUAAUUUGCAUGAUGGAAGUAUUUUCUGUGUCAUUAUCCAGAAGCAGAACUGCAAAAGAAUACCAAUUUCCAUCAUUAUUUUUUUCCAAAUACCUUGUAUAAAAUCACAAUGUGUUGAGAAAUAGAAAGCUUA